rnacentral:rRNA from 1 species
UACGUAGGGGGCAAGCGUUGUCCGGAAUCAUUGGGCGUAAAGAGCGUGUAGGCGGCCCGAUAAGUCCGCUGUGAAAGUCCAGGGCUCAACCCUGGGAUGCCGGUGGAUACUGUCGGGCUCGAGUCCGGAAGGGGAGUGUGGAAUUCCUGGUGUAGCGGUGAAAUGCGCAGAUAUCAGGAAGAACACCCGUGGCUAAGGCGGCUCUCUAGUACGGUACUGACGCUGAGACGCGAAAGCGUGGGGAGCGAACAGG